GUGGCCAACAUGACUGUCUUCGAGUUCCCACCGAGAUUUUCCUGGAAAGAGGAGACAGCAACACAUAUAUUGAGACGCAUUUUGGGAUGCAUUUUGUCUUCAAGUGACUAAUUGUAUUGUUUGGACGUUAAUCUCUAAGACUUGGAGCGAUAAGGCCGGGCAAAUUGAUAAGGCUCCACCCAUCUGUUUGCGUAAAACUACCGUGACAAAGGCACCUACUGAUGAUCAUUAUCACCCAACUUAUCAGAAACUGCAGUGCGAGGAGGAAGACGACAAUAGACAAGUUGUUGUGCCAAUCAAAUAAAUUUACUUGCUCUCACACAGAACAAAAUUAAAUUAUUUUAUUGUAAAUUUUACGAAUUUCUAAAUAAUUUUGAACCAGAUGUUUUCCAACAUUACAAGCAGAACAAAAAUGUAAUUUAAUUCUCAGGGAAGAGGAAGGAUUUGAACUCGGAAAUAUGAUAAUUUCCGUGGGCCCAUGUUAAACAUAUGCAAAAUUUAGAUAAAUAAACAUAAUUGUGCCGAUCCAUGUAUUUUUGUUGCUGUGUACAUUGCUCAUAUGUAUUCAAAUAUAGGUCAGCACCGUGGGCUAAACAAGAGGGCGAAUCGGAAAGAGGAUGGAUGAUUACACAAACUGCGCAGCAGCAGCGGCGUAGGCGUGCACAGUGGUCAAAACUAAAGUGUUUUCGCUUAAAAAAUUAUUUCCAUAACUCCAAGUGACCUCAAGGGGCCUGUCGUGGCUGCCUGAUUGUCUGAAACUGGGUCCAUUAACUGCAAAUUAAAUCAAUCAAUGCCGGGAAUCGACGUUAGUCAUCCGCGUACCAAAACGUUCCAUAUAACCACAUUUUGAACUAAAUAUAGGUUUUGAACGUCCUCCCACCUUUAAAAAUCUGUCACGAUCUCUGGUAAUGACCGAAAUUCGCAUGUAUUAAACUAAAACCGCAAAAACCCGCUAAAAAGGCGGUAUGUAUUAUAACGAAAAUACAACAAAAACCUUGAUCAGAACUGGCUAAAAUGACGUAGACCCUUUAUUAACACUAGGUUUACGCAAAUUUAC